rnacentral:lncRNA from 1 species
UCGGGUCUGGGUUGCGGCUAGGGGUAGGGGUAUGGUCUGGUUUGUGACUAAGGCUGGGGGUGGUCUAGGUUGUUGUUGAAAAAGACCUCAAACACAUCAGCGAUGCCCUCUGCAAGUACGUCGACGAAGACCUUGUAAUCUCCGGCGCAGGAAGGGCUACUUCACCAUUGGGAUCUACGGUUCUUACGUUGCCCUCCACCACAUCCAAAUGGUCACCGC